rnacentral:lncRNA from 10 species
AAGUGAUCUAGGUGCUAUGAUCAAAGCAUAAGCAAAAUGUUGAGAGGGCACUAACAGAAAGUACCAGAAAGGGGAUAUUUUUCAGAAGAGGAAGAUAUUAUACAGGUGGGAAAGGAGGAGAAGUUUCCAAGAGUAGGAUUUUAGCUUUCAACACCUCCUCUUGAAUGCUCAUUUCAAGAACUUGUUAGAAACUAUUUGUAAAGAGGGUAUAGUUACCAAAACAGCAUGGUACUGGCCGGCACAGUGACUCACACCUGUAAUUCCAUCACUUUGGGAGGCCGAGGCAGGUGGAUUACCUGAGGUCAGGAGUUCGAGACCAGCCUGGCCAACAUGGUGAAACCCUGUCUUUACUAAAAAUACAAAAAUUAGCUGGGCCUGGUGGUGCAUGCCUGUAGUGCCGGCUACUUGGGAGGCUGAGGCAGGAGAAUGGCUUAGGUGCGGGAAGUGGAGGUUGCAGUGAGCCGAGGU